AUCCGACUGACGAGUCCCUAACAGGCCGAAACUCGUGUCCUGGAU
rfam:Schistosoma rodhaini strain Burundi genome assembly, scaffold: SROB_scaffold0001804